rnacentral:rRNA from 1 species
UACAGAGGGGGCUAGCGUUAUUCGGAAUUAUUGGGCGUAAAGGGCGCGUAGGCGGCCAUGCGUGUCUUCCGUGAAAUCCCUCGGCUUAACUGAGGACGUGCGGAAGAAACUGCAAGGCUCGAGUCCGGGAGAGGGGGGUGGAAUUCCCAGUGUAGCGGUGAAAUGCGUAGAUAUUGGGAGGAACACCGGUGGCGAAGGCGGCCCCCUGGACCGGUACUGACGCUGAGGCGCGAAAGCGUGGGUAGCAAACAGG